CCUACGGUGUGGCAGCAGUGGGGAAUAUUGGACAAUGGGCGAAAGCCUGAUCCAGCCAUGCCGCGUGUGUGAAGAAGGCCUUCGGGUUGUAAAGCACUUUCAGUGGGGAAGAAAGCCUUGGGGCUAAUACCCUCGAGGAAGGACAUCACCCACAGAAGAAGCACCGGCUAACUCCGUGCCAGCAGCCGCGGUAAUACGGAGGGUGCGAGCGUUAAUCGGAAUUACUGGGCGUAAAGCGCGCGUAGGCGGUCUGAUAAGCCGGUUGUGAAAGCCCCGGGCUCAACCUGGGAACGGCAUCCGGAACUGUCAGGCUAGAGUGCAGGAGAGGAAGGUAGAAUUCCCGGUGUAGCGGUGAAAUGCGUAGAGAUCGGGAGGAAUACCUGUGGCGAAGGCGGCCUUCUGGACUGACACUGACGCUGAGGUGCGAAAGCGUGGGUAGCAAACAGGAUUAGAUACCCAGUAGUC
rnacentral:rRNA from 1 species